rnacentral:misc_RNA from 1 species
GCUCCAAUGUCACUUAGUUUCGAUGAAUGUGGAUGAGGAGUUAAGUUUCCCAAUGUAGCUCUCUCCAAAUCUUCUUGCUUUCCUUCACGAGACAUUUUUAGAACUCUAUUUGCAACAGAUGGCUGCUCAACUUGUUUUUCAAUGGUCUGUGGUGAAAAUGUAUUGCCUACCAGUGUGUUAGAAGGUUCAAGAGCCCUUGAUUGUAGUAUCUCUAAUAAACG